AUUGAACGCUGGCGGCAGGCUUAACACAUGCAAGUCGAACGGUAACAUAAAGAAGCUUGCUUCUUUGAUGACGAGUGGCGGACGGGUGAGUAAUGCUUGGGAAUCUAGCUUAUGGAGGGGGAUAACUACGGGAAACUGUAGCUAAUACCGCGUAAUAUCGAAAGAUUAAAGUGUGGGACCUUCGGGCCGCAUGCCAUAAGAUGAGCCCAAGUGGGAUUAGGUAGUUGGUGAGGUAAAGGCUCACCAAGCCGACGAUCUCUAGCUGGUCUGAGAGGAUGACCAGCCACACUGGGACUGAGACACGGCCCAGACUCCUACGGGAGGCAGCAGUGGGGAAUAUUGCGCAAUGGGGGCAACCCUGACGCAGCCAUGCCGCGUGAAUGAAGAAGGCCUUCGGGUUGUAAAGUUCUUUCGGUAGCGAGGAAGGCAUUUAGUUUAAUAGACUAGGUGAUUGACGUUAACUACAGAAGAAGCACCGGCUAACUCCGUGCCAGCCGCCGCCGUAAGAC
rnacentral:rRNA from 1 species